UACGAAGGGGGCUAGCGUUGCUCGGAAUCACUGGGCGUAAAGCGCACGUAGGCGGAUCUUUAAGUCAGGGGUGAAAUCCUGGAGCUCAACUCCAGAACUGCCUUUGAUACUGGGGAUCUCGAGUCCGGAAGAGGUAAGUGGAACUCCGAGUGUAGAGGUGAAAUUCGUAGAUAUUCGGAAGAACACCAGUGGCGAAGGCGGCUUACUGGUCCGGUACUGACGGCUGAGGUGCGAAAGCGUGGGGAGCAAACAGG
rnacentral:rRNA from 1 species